GAUGAACGCUGGCGGCGUGCCUAAUACAUGCAAGUCGAGCGAACGGACGAGAAGCUUGCUUCUCUGAUGUUAGCGGCGGACGGGUGAGUAACACGUGGAUAACCUACCUAUAAGACUGGGAUAACUUCGGGAAACCGGAGCUAAUACCGGAUAAUAUUUUGAACCGCAUGGUUCAAAAGUGAAAGACGGUCUUGCUGUCACUUAUAGAUGGAUCCGCGCUGCAUUAGCUAGUUGGUAAGGUAACGGCUUACCAAGGCAACGAUGCAUAGCCGACCUGAGAGGGUGAUCGGCCACACUGGAACUGAGACACGGUCCAGACUCCUACGGGAGGCAGCAGUAGGGAAUCUUCCGCAAUGGGCGAAAGCCUGACGGAGCAACGCCGCGUGAGUGAUGAAGGUCUUCGGAUCGUAAAACUCUGUUAUUAGGGAAGAACAUAUGUGUAAGUAACUGUGCACAUCUUGACGGUACCUAAUCAGAAAGCCACGGCUAACUACGUGCCAGCAGCCGCGGUAAUACGUAGGUGGCAAGCGUUAUCCGGAAUUAUUGGGCGUAAAGCGCGCGUAGGUGGUUUUUUAAGUCUGAUGUGAAAGCCCACGGCUCAACCGUGGAGGGUCAUUGGAAACUGGAAAACUUGAGUGCAGAAGAGGAAAGUGGAAUUCCAUGUGUAGCGGUGAAAUGCGCAGAGAUAUGGAGGAACACCAGUGGCGAAGGCGACUUUCUGGUCUGUAACUGACGCUGAUGUGCGAAAGCGUGGGGAUCAAACAGGAUUAGAUACCCUGGUAGUCCACGCCGUAAACGAUGAGUGCUAAGUGUUAGGGGGUUUCCGCCCCUUAGUGCUGCAGCUAACGCAUUAAGCACUCCGCCUGGGGAGUACGACCGCAAGGUUGAAACUCAAAGGAAUUGACGGGGACCCGCACAAGCGGUGGAGCAUGUGGUUUAAUUCGAAGCAACGCGAAGAGCCUUACCAAAUCUUGACAUCCUUUGACAACUCUAGAGAUAGAGCCUUCCCCUUCGGGGGGGCAAAGUGACAGGUGGUGCAUGGUUGUCGUCAGCUCGUGUCGUGAGAUGUUGGGUUAAGUCCCGCAACGAGCGCAACCCUUAAGCUUAGUUGCCAUCAUUAAGUUGGGCACUCUAAGUUGACUGCCGGUGACAAACCGGAGGAAGGUGGGGAUGACGUCAAAUCAUCAUGCCCCUUAUGAUUUGGGCUACACACGUGCUACAAUGGACAAUACAAAGGGCAGCGAAACCGCGAGGUCAAGCAAAUCCCAUAAAGUUGUUCUCAGUUCGGAUUGUAGUCUGCAACUCGACUACAUGAAGCUGGAAUCGCUAGUAAUCGUAGAUCAGCAUGCUACGGUGAAUACGUUCCCGGGUCU
rnacentral:rRNA from 1 species